GACGUAGGGCGCGAGCGUUGUCCGGAUUUAUUGGGCGUAAAGAGCUCGUAGGCGGCUUGUCGCGUCGACUGUGAAAACCCGAGGCUCAACUUCGGGCUUGCAGUCGAUACGGGCAGGCUAGAGUUCGGUAGGGGAGACUGGAAUUCCCGGUGUAGCGGUGAAAUGCGCAGAUAUCGGGAAGAACACCCGUGGCGAAGGCGGUUCUCUGGGACGGUACUGACGCUGAGACGCGAAAGCGUGGGGAGCGAACAGG
rnacentral:rRNA from 1 species